CCCAAGCUACUCGAAGUUUUGUUUCAAGGACCAGACAUGCAAUAAUUUUUUUUGCUCCAAUAAAUAAUAUAUAUCUUGCAUAAUUUCUAAUUGUAGAACUAGCUCUUGCCUGACCAUUCUUUCAAGAAGCAUUGAAGUUCACCUUACCCAUUUCACAGUAAGGAGGCAUCCAAGAAAUCAAUAAAGAUGGUGUUUUAGAUGAUUUUUCUUUUUCGAGAAGCGCUCUCUUUAGAAAAAGAUAUUUUGGAUUUCAAUAGGGGGUUCCCAUCUCUCUUUCUCUUUCUAUUUUUUUGAUAAAUUAAAUUAAAUUUAUCAAUGUAAAUCAGAUAAUAAAAUAUUUAAAAUUUGAAUAAAAAAGAUCAGCUAAAGAAAUUCAUAAUGUUGAUACCAUAUGAUUUACUAUAUAAGAUAUCUUCCGGUCAACGUACAACACUGUUAAGCACU
rnacentral:lncRNA from 1 species